GACGAACGCUGGCGGCGAGCUUAACACAUGCAAGUCGAACGGAAAGGCCCUGCUUUUGUGGGGUGCUCGAGUGGCGAACGGGUGAGUAACACGUGAGUAACCUGCCCUUGACUUUGGGAUAACUUCAGGAAACUGGGGCUAAUACCGGAUAGGAGCUCCUGCUGCAUGGUGGGGGUUGGAAAGUUUCGGCGGUUGGGGAUGGACUCGCGGCUUAUCAGCUUGUUGGUGGGGUAGUGGCUUACCAAGGCUUUGACGGGUAGCCGGCCUGAGAGGGUGACCGGCCACAUUGGGACUGAGAUACGGCCCAGACUCCUACGGGAGGCAGCAGUGGGGAAUAUUGCACAAUGGGCGGAAGCCUGAUGCAGCAACGCCGCGUGCGGGAUGACGGCCUUCGGGUUGUAAACCGCUUUCGCCUGUGACGAAGCGUGAGUGACGGUAAUGGGUAAAGAAGCACCGGCUAACUACGUGCCAGCAGCCGCGGUGAUACGUAGGGUGCGAGCGUUGUCCGGAUUUAUUGGGCGUAAAGGGCUCGUAGGUGGUUGAUCGCGUCGGAAGUGUAAUCUUGGGGCUUAACCCUGAGCGUGCUUUCGAUACGGGUUGACUUGAGGAAGGUAGGGGAGAAUGGAAUUCCUGGUGGAGCGGUGGAAUGCGCAGAUAUCAGGAGGAACACCAGUGGCGAAGGCGGUUCUCUGGGCCUUUCCUGACGCUGAGGAGCGAUAGCGUGGGGAGCGAACAGGCUUAGAUACCCUGGUAGUCCACGCUGUAAACGGUGGGUACUAGGUGUGGGGUCCAUUCCACGGGUUCCGUGCCGUAGCUAACGCUUUAAGUACCCCGCCUGGGGAGUACGGCCGCAAGGCUAAAACUCAAAGGAAUUGACGGGGCCCCGCACAAGCGGCGGAGCAUGCGGAUUAAUUCGAUGCAACGCGUAGAACCUUACCUGGGUUUGACAUGGAUCGGGAGUGCUCAGAGAUGGGUGUGCCUCUUUUGGGGUCGGUUCACAGGUGGUGCAUGGCUGUCGUCAGCUCGUGUCGUGAGAUGUUGGGUUAAGUCCCGCAACGAGCGCAACCCUUGUUCACUGUUGCCAGCACGUUAUGGUGGGGACUCAGUGGAGACCGCCGGGGUCAACUCGGAGGAAGGUGGGGAUGACGUCAAGUCAUCAUGCCCCUUAUGUCCAGGGCUUCACGCAUGCUACAAUGGCUGGUACAGAGAGUGGCGAGCCUGUGAGGGUGAGCGAAUCUCGGAAAGCCGGUCUCAGUUCGGAUUGGGGUCUGCAACUCGACCUCAUGAAGUCGGAGUCGCUAGUAAUCGCAGAUCAGCAACGCUGCGGUGAAUACGUUCCCGGGGCU
rnacentral:rRNA from 1 species